rfam:TPA: Bos taurus chromosome 15, whole genome shotgun sequence.
UGGCUCAGAGGUUAAAGCGUCUGCCUGCAAUGCAGAAGACCUGGGUUUGAUCCCUG